rnacentral:rRNA from 1 species
GACAGAGGGUGCAAACGUUGCUCGGAAUUACUGGGCGUAAAGCGCGUGUAGGCUGACCGGAAAGUCGGGCGUGAAAUCCCUGAGCUCAACUCAGGAACUGCACUCGAAACUCCCGGUCUAGAGUGGUGGAGAGGGAAGUGGAAUUCCUGGUGUAGAGGUGAAAUUCGUAGAUAUCAGGAGGAACACCAGUGGCGAAGGCGGCUUCCUGGACACCAACUGACGCUGAGACGCGAAAGCGUGGGAGCAAACAGG